UACGGAGGGUGCGAGCGUUGUCCGGAAUCAUUGGGCGUAAAGGGCGCGUAGGUGGCGGGACAAGCGUGCGGUGAAAGCUCGGGGCUCAACCCCGCGUCGGCCGUGCGAACUGUUUUGCUUGAGCACUGUAGAGGCAGGCGGAAUUCCGGGUGUAGCGGUGGAAUGCGUAGAGAUCCGGAAGAACACCGGUGGCGAAGGCGGUCUGCUGGGGCAGUUGCUGACACUGAGGCGCGACAGCGUGGGGAGCAAACAGG
rnacentral:rRNA from 1 species